rnacentral:rRNA from 1 species
GACGUAGGGCGUGAGCGUUGUCCGGAUUUAUUGGGCGUAAAGAGCUCGUAGGCGGCCUGUUGCGUCCGCUGUGAAAUCCCGGGGCUUAACCCCGGGCGUGCAGUGGAUACGGGCAGGCUGGAGGCAGGCAGGGGAGAACGGAAUUCCCGGUGUAGCGGUGAAAUGCGUAGAUAUCAGGAGGAACACCGGUGGUGUAAACGGCUUUCUGGACCAUAACUGACGCUGAGGCACGAAAGCGUGGGUAGCAAACAGG